ACAUUUUCUAUGGAAUUACAGGAAUACCUUGCUCGGAUAAACCACCUAGCGCCAAAAUUGCAGUAACAUGCGCCUCUUAUCCCUGCUCUGCUUGCUCCAUCGUUCCGCUACCCACACCCACUCUCCGUCCCUCUUCCUCCGCCACCACAUGGCCACCGCCGCCGAACCCGUCGGCCCGUCCAACACCAAACUGGGUUGGAUCGGCACCGGCGUAAUGGGCCGCUCUAUGUGCUCCCAUCUCCUCAAGGCUGGGUACACCGUCACUAUCUACACCCGCACCCAGUCCAAGGCUGAAUCUUUACUCUCCAUGGGGGCUCGCUGGGCGGAAUCCCCGAAAUCCUUGGCCUCCCAGUCCGACGUUGUCUUCUCCAUCGUUGGCUACCCUUCCGACGUCCGCAAAGUCAUUCUGGACCCCGCCUCCGGAGCCCUAGCGGGCCUCCGCUCUGGAGGGGUUAUAAUCGAUAUGACGACUUCGGACCCCUCCCUCGCAGUUGAGAUCGCCUCUGCUGCCUCUGCCGCUGGUUGCUCCUCAGUCGACGCCCCAGUCUCCGGUGGCGACCGCGGUGCACGCCUAGCCUCGCUCUCCAUAUUCACCGGGGGCGAUGAAACUCUGGUAACUCGCCUCACCCCUUUGUUGAACCAUCUGGGAAGAGUAUACCAUAUGGGUGGGCCUGGAAAGGGGCAGUUCUGUAAGUUAGCGAACCAAGUAACCAUUGCUUCGACAAUGGUGGGUUUAUGCGAGGGUUUGAUAUAUGCGCAUAAGGCUGGUUUGGAUUUGAGUAAUUAUUUGAAUGCCAUCUCGACGGGGGCUGCGGGCUCGAAGUCUUUGGAUUUGUAUGGGAACAGGAUAUUGAAACGGGAUUUUGAGGCGGGUUUUUAUGUGAAUCAUUUCGUGAAGGAUUUGGGGAUUUGUUUGAGGGAGUGUCAGAAUAUGGGAUUGGCUUUGCCAGGGCUGGCAUUGGCUCAGCAGCUGUAUUUGUCGCUUAAGGCACACGGAGAGGGUGAUUUGGGUACUCAGGCGCUCGUUUUGGCACUAGAGAGGCUCAACAAUGUGUCGCUUGAGUCAGGGAGCUCAAAGUCUUUGUCCGAGGGAAAAAAUUAAGCUGUACACUGGAAUAGGGUUCUGACCAUGAAAAGCGGGACUUCUAUGUAUCUCAAGGGAGGAUCAGCAGUGGACUACUGGGUGAUUACCCUUCAAAAUGCAUCAGAUCAGUUUACUUGGAUGAGAAAGCACUGACAAGUGGUGACAUAAAAACUGCAUGAUGAUAAGGUAAAUGAGUCUUCACUAACUGCAAGGAAGCACUGGGAGAGAUGUAGAUUACUGAAAAUAUGAUUUGUAUGCAAAGGAGCCAAACAUUGGCUCAAGUUACUCGUGAUUUCUAUACUUGUGGCUUGGCUGUUGAGCUCUUAUCCCUGUCAAACUUUAGAUGGAUGCUUGCCAACCUGGGAGUCUUGAACUUUGAUUGCUGAUGGCCAUUAAAUUGUUGUCCUUGUAUACAUGUUGGAAAACUGAAGUGCUGAUAGAUGUUUUUCUACUUUGGGAAUCUUAUCAACAUUCCA